UACGUAGGGUCCGAGCGUUGUCCGGAAUUACUGGGCGUAAAGAGCUCGUAGGUGGUUUGUCACGUUGUUCGUGAAAACCCACAGCUCAACUGUGGGCGUGCGAGCGAUACGGGCAGACUAGAGUACUGCAGGGGAGACUGGAAUUCCUGGUGUAGCGGUGAAAUGCGCAGAUAUCAGGAGGAACACCGGUGGCGAAGGCGGGUCUCUGGGCCGUAACUGACGCUGAGGAGCGAAAGCAUGGGGAGCGAACAGG
rnacentral:rRNA from 1 species